ACAGCCACUCCGCGUCCACCCG
rnacentral:miRNA from 1 species